GUAGGUGAACCUGCGGAAGGAUCAUUACACGUUCUCCUCCUCCUCCUCCUCCUUAUCAUUGUCACCAUCUGGUGAUGAUGUUAUGCUGGCAAUGGUGGCGGUGGGGCUGCUGCUGCUGCUGUUGCUGUUGGACUAUGAAUCUAGACCUUGAUAUUGUCUUGCUGUUACUGCUGCGAUGGGGUGCCUAGUCUGCCUCUAGCCUUUGCAGGUAUGCCCGUCUUGUCGCUCGCUUGCUCGCUAACUGGCUGGCUCAUUGGCUCAGUGUGUGCGUGUGUGCGGGGACGUGUUAACACGGACCGGUCCAUACCAGGGCGGCAGAGGAGUAGUCACGCGAAGGCGUGUGUGCAAGGCAUAAGACGUCUGAUGUGCGCUAAUCAUCGCGACACGCUGUUGGUGUAGUGGGUGGUCGUGUACGCGCAUCUACGCCCCAUCAUGCGUCGUGGUUGUCUUUGUGUUACAUGUGAGGAUGCUGUUGCCGCACGGUCGACAGUAGCGAUGACAUUGAGGGGUAGAAAGGUGGUGUCAGCAUCACUGUUGUUACCGUUGUAUAGUGGUGAUGGCAUUACGAUGCUCUUCUCUCUGUCAGUUGUGUGUGUGUGCGCAUGUCGCUGUUGGCGGCGGCACGUGGACACCACCACCCAACAACAACAACAACAACUAAUAACUGUGUGCGGUGGAUCACUCGGCUCGUGCGUCGAUGAAGAGUGCAGCCAACUGUGUGAAUUAAUGUGAAUCGCAGACUGCUUUGAACAUCGACAUCUUGAACGCAUAUUGCGGCCAUAGGCUUGCCUGUGGCCACGUCUGUCCGAGCGUCGGCUUAUAAACUAUCACUGUGCAUAAUGAGCGGUGGCUUGAGAGAUUGCCGUACUGUGUGUGUGUGUGUGUGUGUGUGCGGCUUCUCUUGAAGGUGUGUGAAUGUAUGGUAGAGGCGGUGGUUGUGCUGCCGUGGCUGCAGUCAUGGUGUUUGCCUUGCUUCAUUCCAACUUCGUCUUCUUUCCUUUCAUUUUGAUGAUGGUGAUGAAGGAAGGAAGGAAGGAAGGAGGGCGGUGGUGCGUGCAGUCACAGUUCACAAGCCGUGGCCCAGUGUGGUGGGUGCGUUGUGCACGCAAGGUGAACUGUGCUAGCCGGCGACUACCAUUAGACGCCACUACUACUACUACAUUGUGUGUGUGUGUGUGUGUCUGACCUCGGAUCAGUCGUGAGUACCCGCUAAACUUAAGCAUAUCAAUAAGCGGAGGAAAAGAAACUAA
rnacentral:rRNA from 1 species